GACGAACGCUGGCGGCGUGCCUAAUACAUGCAAGUCGAGCGGACUUAAAAAGCUUGCUUUUUAAGUUAGCGGCGGACGGGUGAGUAACACGUGGGCAACCUGCCUGUAAGACUGGGAUAACUUCGGGAAACCGGAGCUAAUACCGGAUAAUCCUUUCCUACUCAUGUAGGAAAGCUGAAAGACGGUUUACGCCGUCACUUACAGAUGGGCCCGCGGCGCAUUAGCUAGUUGGUGAGGUAACGGCUCACCAAGGCGACGAUGCGUAGCCGACCUGAGAGGGUGAUCGGCCACACUGGGACGGAGACACGGCCCAGACUCCUACGGGAGGCAGCAGUAGGGAAUCUUCCGCAAUGGACGAAAGUCUGACGGAGCAACGCCGCGUGAGUGAUAAAGGGUUUCGGAUCGUAAAACUCUGUUGUUAGGGAAGAACAAGUACGAGAGUAACUGCUCGUACCUUGACGGUACCUAACCAGAAAGCCACGGCUAACUACGUGCCAGCCGCCGCCGUAA
rnacentral:rRNA from 1 species